ensembl:rRNA 5S_rRNA 5S ribosomal RNA
GUCUACAGCCAUGCCACCCUGAACAUGCUCGAGCCCGUCUGAUAUUGGAAGCUAAACAGAAUUGGGCCUGGUUAGUACUUGGAUGGGAGACCACCUAGAAAUGCCAGGUGCUGUAGGCG